UGUUGCAUUCCGGCUGUCGUUAAGUAAAGCGCGAGUGUUACCGCCUGCCAUGAGCCGAGCGAGAGAUAGCGAGAGAGACACAGAGCGAGAGAGAGAGCGAGAGAGCGAGAAGCUGCGUCAGGCGAGCAGAAUAUCGAUAAAUUUUUCUGCGUCGUUGAAUCGUCAUUCGUUUCGCGUAAUUCCGCCGUAAUUUUGUUUCGUCGGGAGUGCCGUUAAUGCCGGAAGUGCCGUGAUGGUUUUGCAUGAAACGCGUACGAAACGCCGUAUUUUAAACGAUGCAUUUUCGCCAAAUGCUACGAUAAAUAUCAGGACACGAUCGAACCGCUUUCAAGGGGGGCUUUCUUCUCGACUUUUCGGCUCGGGGGAGGCGAGGAUCGGUUUUUAUCAUGGGAGGGGCCCUUCAGUGUCAGACAUGCCAACAUGUGAUGCAUGAUGCAUGAUUCAUGUUACUUUUUGUAUGCUCAAAAAAGCAUGCUGUCACUACUGCAUGAUAGUAACAUUUAAAUCAUAUGAUCCACGGCAUAGAAGUCAGCAUGUUUUGACUUGAGUUCCGUUGGUAUUGGCACCGAAAUGCUACUGAUAUCCGGUUGACUCCAUGACUAAUCGCACUUUAUUUCCUUCGAGCUUAUGCCUUCUGUUUUGAGAUAAUCGUGUCCCAAUUGAUAAAUGCAGUCGUCUUAAAAGCGGACGUAACUCGCGCGUAACGUUGCAACUUGGGCAGUUCGGUUCGAUUCGCCUGCGGGAGUGCCGUUUAAAGUGUCGCGCGAUUUUCGGCACGCGCGCUAACAAUGCGCGCAUCGCGAACGCGUGUGAGUUCGAAAGUCCGCUGGGAGCAGAAGGAGGAGGAGGAGGAGGGAGGGAGGGACGGCAUCGGGCGGUAGCAGAACGACGAUACGAUGUGACAUUGGCUGAUGGCAGAAAAUACAUUGACACAAUUGCCGUUUAUCUUUGGAUUUGCCUAUCAACGGCUGUGUGAUAGACAAUUUGCAAUGAAAGGAAUGAGACGAGCAACAACAUAGCGGCGGGAAGUCAUCGAAGGAGCUCCGGCAGGGCGAGAAGCAGCGAGGGGAAAACGUCGCGCACGGAAGGAGGAGCAGAGAAUGCCAGCAGGGUGCACGUGACGAACGGGACUUCCCUCCAGAUUCGCACGGUGAGUACAACGGACGAGCCCCGACGGGGAAAACGAUUCGGCGGCAGCUCCCUCGUUACUCGCGUGCACAGACUCAAAGAAACUCCCACGACGCGCGCGAGUCCACGUCAGCCACGAAGAAAGGUCUUGCUAGGACGAUCCAGCCAAAGCAAUAAUGAGUCGAGAUUUACAAGAUUAAAGAAGUACAAAAAGCGGAAUAAUUUACACACGAAAACUUGGGCUUGAAUUGCGUUUUGGAUGUGAACGCGGUUGUUAAAAAUGAAAAUUUCAAGAAAUUGUUUGAGAC
rnacentral:lncRNA from 1 species